rnacentral:lncRNA from 1 species
AUGGGGGGGGGGUGUGGGCGUGCCCUUCCGGCUCCGGCCGUCGGGGUGCAUCUCCAGGAAGCAACUUUCAGCCCGGGGUGCCACCAGAGGAGCUGGAGAGCUCUGGGCGGCUGGGCCAAGCCUGGAGCCCACGAGGAGACCCCAGAAAGAGGCUCGCUUGGUCCGUGGCCAGCCAUGUCCAGCAGGGGGCGCUUCCGAAGAAGGAGGGAGGGGGCUGCCGCCUCCCCACCCGGCGCCCGAGGCACUGAGGACCCACCACACAGGCUCCUGCAGGCUCCUGCGCCCUCCCCUCCGGGCCAUCACCCAGCCGGCAACCUCCGUUUGGCCGGCUCAGCUCCCAGGGCGCCUCGGGGAGCCUCAGCCACAGCCGCCUCCGCCCCGGGGCUCCCCUGUCUCUCCCUCAGCCUCGCUGCUCCAGGCGGCCCCACGUGCCUGCCCUGCUCCGCGCUCUUCUUCCUCGUCCGGGCCUGUGUGCGAGGUUCUCCCCUCUCGCGGGGCUCCGGAGAGGGCAGAGGAAGGAGCCUCCCUCCCACAGACCGCCGCAGGGACCGGGCGAGGCUGGGGUCUGAGUGCAUCGUGGGGGGUCAAGCCGAGCCCUUGGAAGGGCAUUGUGGGGCGCAGGCGAGCCCCCACAUGUUUCCUGGAGGGGGGCCAGCAUCGGGGUUGCUCCUAGCAGGGGCCUCAGGAACAGCUGCUUCCCUCCCUCCCCCACCGAGGAAGCCCGGACUGGAGGGCUGGAACGACACGCCUGAGGCACCGGGGCAGCCCCAGUGGGCCUACCCGAAGGAUCCUCCAAGCUUUCUCCUGGCCCAAGGACAGCUCCCGUUUCCAUGGCAGCCAUCAUUGCCAUUUUACAGAGGGGGAAACGGAGGUUCAGAGACUUACUCCGGUCACAGAGCCAGGAGUGCCUGGGGCAGGAUUGGAACCCAGCUCUCUUCUGAUUCUGAGCUCAGCUUCCACUGUUUUACGCUGCCAGCUUUGGGCUUCCUGGGCUUGUGCCAAUUCCCAUGA